rnacentral:rRNA from 1 species
AACGAACGCUGGCGGCAUGCCUAACACAUGCAAGUCGAACGAAGGCUUCGGCCUUAGUGGCGCACGGGUGCGUAACGCGUGGGAAUCUGCCCUUUGGUUCGGAAUAACAGCUGGAAACGGCUGCUAAUACCGGAUGAUGACGAAAGUCCAAAGAUUUAUCGCCAGAGGAUGAGCCUGCGUUGGAUUAGGUAGUUGGUGGGGUAAAGGCCUACAAAGCCGGCGAUCCAUAACUGGUCUGAGAGGAUGAUCAGCCACACUGGGACUGGGACACGGCCCAGACUCCUAGGAGAGGGAGCAGUGGGGAAUAUGGGACGACGCGCGCGAGCCGGAGGCAGCAGGGCCGCGAAAGUGAUGAAGGCGCUAGGAAUGAAAAGCUCUUUUACCCGGGAAGAUAAGACCUUAACCGGGAGAAAAGGCCCGGCUUAACACGGG